rnacentral:rRNA from 1 species
GAUGAACGCUAGCUACAGGCUUAACACAUGCAAGUCGAGGGGUAACGAGAGGAAAGCUUGCUUUCCUUGUCGACGACCGGCGCACGGGUGAGUAACGCGUAUCCAACCUGCCCCCAACUAGGGAAUAACCUUGCGAAAGUAAGACUAAUACCCUAUAAUUUCCUCAGAUGUCAUCUGACGAGGAAUAAAGAUUUAUCGGUUGUGGAUGGGGAUGCGUCUGAUUAGCUUGUUGGCGGGGUAACGGCCCACCAAGGCAACGAUCAGUAGGGGUUCUGAGAGGAAGGUCCCCCACAUUGGAACUGAGACACUGUCCAAACUCCUACGGGAGGCAGCAGUGAGGAAUAUUGGUCAAUGGGCGGAAGCCUGAACCAGCCAAGUAGCGUGCAGGAUGACGGCCCUAUGGGUUGUAAGCUGCUUUUAUACAGGAAUAAAGUUAGCCACGUGUGGUUAUUUGUAGGUACUGUAUGAAUAAGGACCGGCUAAUUCCGUGCCAGCAGCCGCAGUAA